GUCCUUAACAGCAUCUACAUGAAAUGGUCAGGGAGAACAUUUCAUUGGCCAGCCUGGAGGAGUUUGAAUUGUCUCUAGUGAAGAGCAACCAGGAUAAAAGCAAACCUGUGGAAGCAAAAAACUCAAGGAUACAAGGGACAGAUGUCCAAGCAUUAUACUGACCUAAUGGCCAGCUGGGGGCAGCCAGGUGCUGACAGCUCAGAGAGUGAGAAGAAGCAAGCAAAUGGACCAAAACUGAGAGUCACUGGUGCACAAAUGCAGGUGCAGAAACAGGAGAAGACCAAAAGAGAGACUUGCUCCUGAGACACCAAAACCUGGGAAUCAGGUGUCUGAGCAACCAAAGAACUCUGUCCACGCAGCAAAUUAUCCAGGACUGGAUCACAUAUUCAUUGAUCUGACUUUGUGACUGCCCAGGUGUGUACCCAGCCAGUCUCCUCACUGAAUCCAAACAACAAGGUACAGAUCAUGGAGUCACAGAAGUAGGUAGGCAGUGUUGUUGUCCUUGUAUUGAUCUCUGCUGAGUGGUGGCACAAAGACAGGAACAGAAUAAAAGGGAAUCA